rnacentral:rRNA from 1 species
UACGGAGGGUGCAAGCGUUGUCCGGAUUUAUUGGGUUUAAAGGGUGCGUAGGUGGGGUGUCAAGUCUGGUUUGAAAGUUAGCUGCUCAACAGUUAGACGGGGCUGGAAACUGGGAAUCUGGAAUGGGUUGGCGGCUGCCGGAACGGGUUAUGUAGCGGUGAAAUGCAUAGAUAUGUCCCAGAACACCGAUUGCGAAGGCAGGCAGCUACGACCUGAUUGACACUGAGGCGCGAGAGCAUGGGUAGCAAACAGG